UUGAGUGUGCACUGGAUCAGGGAUUUCAGCAGAGGAGAUUAAGGAUACCAGGGUUGUGUACAUGGAAAUUGAAGCCCAAAACUUGGACAAAAAGAGCUGUUGCUUGGCCAUUGAUACAUGCCAGGAUUGAACUGGUUGAAGCUAUUCUUAACUUGCCAUGAAGAGCCCUCAUGUCAUCAUUCCUUAAUUUUACUUCUUCAUCCUCUCUCUGAAGAAAUCUCAUGCUGAAAGCUUGAUAUGGAAGAUUUAGCAAAACACAUGCAUGCUAAUGUUGUUCUUUGUGCAGUAUGGUAGUUCCUAAUAAUUACUGAGAUUAUUAACCUGGAAAUAGGUGUUCAGGUGUUGUCUUGGUGUAAAAGACAGGUAUCUGCCAAAGAAGGCGGGAACCUCCUAUGGAAAGAUGACUAUGACCCUCUUCCGUCUGAAUUAUUAUAACUUUGAAAUGACAGAGCUUUCAGGCAAAGAUACCUGAAAAGGAAUAGCAGUUCC